AACCGACUGAGCCACCCAGCUGCCCCUAAAUGAUCAAGAUUCUUAAAAACUGGAGAAAAAGCUAAUUUUCUUUUGGCCAACAAGCCCAUCGUGACAAUUGACGAGAGAUCAAAAAAGGGCAUGGUGUUAAAGAGGACCCAGGCUGGAGAGAAGCAAGUUACGAAGAGAAGACGGGAGAGUUGCUUCACAGUUGGAGGUAGCACUUAGAAGAGGUUGAGGUUAGGACCCACAUCAAGGACAGGUCAGAAGAAACACAUCUGAACCAUGGAGAGGAGGAAGAGAGAAAUGCCCUUCAACUGUGUUUCCUCUUCUUCCAGAGGCCAGUUCCCUCACCUGUUGGCACACGGCACCAAGAGGCCAAUGUGUGCUGCGAAUCUGUAAGAGGAGGAAAUCGUGGGUAAUUUUUCUCAAAGUUCUUUAGCCAUGGGAUCCAUUUUUUUGUGGACUAUGUCAAGGAAACAGUGUUCUGUGGGGUAUGCUUUUGGAAAUAAUCACCAGUCUUAGGAGAUCGCACCAUGGCUAUUGACUGUAUGUAUCCUCAACAGCAAACCAUUUUUGAGCCACAUGGAUGUCAGCAGGCUGGUUUUUUAGUUGCCCCUUGAUCCCUGUCUACAUCCCUCUGGGUCCCUGUGAGUCCCCGGGACCAUAUCCCUAUGCAGAGCCACCAAAGCUCACCUACUCAACUGGAGAUAACUGUCCUCACAUUGUGGACUACCGCGGAGUGGUCUAACUGGCCCUGGUGCUGUUGAAUGCUCUGUGCUCUGGCUUUAGUUCUUUGGUUAAAUUGAAUUUUCUAACAUGAAUAAAAAUGGGGAGAUGUUUUAAAAAAAGAUCUUCUAAGAGAUGGAAGCCAAGAGAGUAUGCCAUCGGUCCAAACACCAAAUAAACUCGGCAUCCUGAGAUAUUCAA